AGCGAACGUUAGCGGCGGGCCUAACACAUGCAAGUCGAGCGAGAAAGUGGCUUCGGCCAUCAGUAAAGCGGCGGACGGGUGAGUAACACGUAGGUAAUCUUCCCUUGAGCGGGGGACAACGUUUCGAAAGGAACGCUAAUACCGCAUACGUUUCUGGGGACGUCCGGUCUCUGGAAGGAAAGCUAGGUCGCAAGAUCCGGCACUCGAGGAGGAGCCUGCGUCGCAUCAGCUAGUUGGGGGGUAACGGCCUACCAAGGCGAAGACGCGUAGCUGGUCUGAGAGGAUGAUCAGCCACACUGGGACUGAGACACGGCCCAGACUCCUACGGGAGGCAGCAGUGGGGAAUAUUGGACAAUGGGCGCAAGCCUGAUCCAGCCACGCCGCGUGAGUGAUGAAGGCCU
rnacentral:rRNA from 1 species